rnacentral:rRNA from 1 species
GAGGAAAAGAAACUAACAAGGAUUCCCCUAGUAACUGCGAGUGAAGCGGGAAGAGCUCAAAUUUAAAAUCUGGCGUGCCUCUGGUCGUCCGAGUUGUAGUCUGGAGAAGCGUUUUCCGUGUUGGACCGUGUAUAAGUCUCUUGGAACAGGGCGUCAUAGAGGGUGAGAAUCCCGUCUUUGACACGGACUACCAAUGCUUUGUGAUGCGCUCUCAAAGAGUCGAGUUGUUUGGGAAUGCAGCUCAAAAUGGGUGGUAAAUUCCAUCUAAAGCUAAAUAUAGGCGAGAGACCGAUAGCGAACAAGUACCGUGAGGGAAAGAUGAAAAGCACUUUGGAAAGAGAGUUAAACAGUACGUGAAAUUGCUGAAAGGGAAACGCUUGAAGUCAGUCGUGUCUGCCAGGACUCAGCCUUGCUUCUGCUUGGUGUACUUUCUGGUCGGAUGGGCCAACAUCAAUUUCGACCGUUGGAGAAAGGCUUUGGGAAUGUGGCACCUUUGGGUGUGUUAUAGCCCUUUGUCGUAUACGGCGGUUGGGAUUGAGGACUGCAGCACGCCUUUAUGGCCGGGGUUCGCCCACGUACGUGCUUAGGAUGUUGGCGUAAUGGCUUUAA